rnacentral:tRNA from 1 species
GGGGUUGUAGCUCAGUGGUAGAGCGCUUGCCUUACAUGCAUGAGGCCUUGGUUCAAUCCUCAGCACCA